AUGGUGAGCAUUGAGGUGGUGGUAAAAUUGGGGCUGAAUAUGGCGCCUCUUGAAAGGCCGUACACGCUAAAGUGGUUCAAAGGUGAAAUCAAAAUUACACAUCGGAUUUUGCUAAUUUUUGAUUUGGAAAAAUAUUGUUGUGCGGAAUUUUUUUACAUUUGUCCACUGCCCAUGGUGUCGUGCCAUCUGCUACUUGGGAACCCGUCGUGCACGCGCGUCGGGGCUGUUCGGAAUGUCAAGAAAAAUACUUUCUCUUUGGCAUGGAAGGGUCAAAGAUUUUGUUUUAUUCCUAUGCCAGUGGAUGUGUUCACGAAAGAUUGGAAAAGUCGUGUGCUGAAAAGACUAGAAGAACAAGAAGAAAUAAAGGAAGAAAUAAAUGCACCAGUAGAGGGGCUGAAUCUUAUGGUGGAGAAA
rnacentral:rRNA from 1 species